UACGUAGGGUGCAAGCGUUGUCCGGAAUUAUUGGGCGUAAAGAGCUCGUAGGCGGUUUGUUACGUCGGCUGUGAAAACCUGAGGCUCAACCUCAGGCCUGCAGUCGAUACGAGUAGACUAGAGUGUUGCAGGGGAGACUGGAAUUCCUGGUGUAGCGGUGAAAUGCGCAGAUAUCAGGAGGAACACCGGUGGCGAAGGCGGGUCUCUGGGCCACUACUGACGCUGAGAAGCGAAAGCAUGGGGAGCGAACAGG
rnacentral:rRNA from 1 species